AAAGAUUAAAUGAAAAGAUAAAAGAUACAUAUGAGCAAAUUCAUUUGGACUUGAAAAAGAAAAAUGAAAUGCUCGAAGCUAACCUAGUAAUUAAUAUAUGAUAGUCAAUGGAAAAUAAAUAAAUAAAUACGCACACAUAUAUUAUAUAUAUAGAUAUCUGAAUAGAUGUGAUUAUACGUAUAUGUGUACGUAGCAUGUGCAUAUUUAUAUAUCUAAAAAUGCGCACUUAUUUUAAUUAAUUUCAUUUUUUCACUUCUUUCUUUUUUUUGUCAUCCUUGAUGUUCUUACUUAAUGUUUGUUACAUGUCUUACCCCUCUUUAGAAUAUGAACAUACUAAACUUACAAGAAAUAAACCAGAUAAUAAUGAACAAAGAAAAGAAAACAUAUGAUAUAAAAUUACUACAACAAAAAAACGAUAAUAACCUAAAAAUGAUAAAUUUUUAUAAACUCGAAAUAAAUAAAUUAAGAGAAGCUCUAUUGUCAGUGAAAACUUAUUACUAUAACUAUAGAAUUAAAUCAAAAAAAAACAUUAACGAGCUAAUGAUUCAAUAUGAGAGAAUAAAAUUUCAAUUUAUUGAAUUACAAAAGAGACAAAAAAGUUAUGAAAAAAUUUUUCAAAAAAAAUACACAAAUGCUUGGAACUUGCAAAAAAACGAGGCCAACAAACAUAUUGAAAAGUUAAUAAAUGCAAAUAAAAUAAUCCACGAACAAAUCCUUUUAAAAGAAUUUCAUAAAACUACUUAUAAACAAUUCAUGGAAGAUAGCAGCAGUUUAAUUUCAACAACCGUUAAAGAUCAUGAAAACCCUCGAACGGAGUUAAAUACAAAACGCGUUAAUGUACAACAGAUUGAAAAUGUUAAGAAGCUACUUUUGCAAGAAUGCAAUUUCUUAGUCGAAGACGAUAUGGAUAAUGAACAACAAAAAAUAAAAAAAAUAUUAAAAUACAUAGGUGUUUAUACACAAGAAGAUUUAGAACUACUUACACAACUGUUUUAUAUAGAUUAUGAGCAUGAAAAUGAUAGUGACAAUAACAACAAGGAGAGUGACGAUAAUGCGAUAAAAUAUAAUUCAGAAUAUACAUUAGAUAUAAUUUAUAAGUAUUAUCAAGAAAAGGAAAAAGAAAGUGCUUGUCAAAUAACGAAGAACAAACAACAAUAUAAAAAUAGGUUAAAUAUUUCUUUAAAGUUAAUAAUAGAGAGAAGAAAAAAAGAAAAAGAGUUCUGGGAAAACUUAACGCAUAUUACACCUAAUGAUAUGGUAGAAAUGUGGAAGGUUAAAUUGAUUAUACACGAAGACUUAUUUAAGAAUAUGUUAUA
rnacentral:lncRNA from 1 species